GUGAGAUUUGAACAAUAAUGUUAACCACAGAGGAAAAGAUUGAUAAAUUGGAUUUCAUCAAAAUUGCGAACUUCUUUUCAUCAAAAUGACGAGAAUAAGAGGGCAAGUGACAGAAUAAAGGAAAUUAUUUGCAAUAUAUUUAUCAUAUAAAGAACUUGUAUUAAUCAAUAAAGACAGACAAUCCCGUAGCAAAUGAACAAGACACUUCACGAAAAUGAUAUUCCAAUGUCCAAUAAAUGUAUAUAAAAGUACUUUAUUUCCUUAUCAGAGAAAUGCAUACCAUUUCAAUGUUAUUACAAUUACAAUCUCACCAGAAUGGCUAGAAUUAAAAGGAUUGGCAACACAAAUGCAGAAGAUGCCAGCAACUGGAACUUUUUUUUUUCCCCAGAUGGAGUCUUGCUCUGUUACCCAGACUAGAGUGCAGUGGUGCUAUCUCAGCUCACUGCAACCUCCACCUCUCAGGUUCAAGCAAUUCUCCUGCCUCAGCCUCCCAAGUAGCUGAGAUUACAGGCACUCGCCACCACGCCCGGCUAAUUUUUGUAUUUUUAGUAGAGAUGGGGUUUCAUCAUGUUGGCCAGGCUGGUCUCGAACUGCUGACCUCAUGAUCUGCCCACCUCAGCCUCCCAAAGUGCUGGGAUUACAGGCAUGAGCCACAGCUCCCGGCAGCAACUGUAACUUUUGAUGCAGGAUUUUUCUUCUCGGUCACUUUGCAAACCGGGACCUCCGGCCAGCGAUGCCCCACCCGCGCCCUGCUCAGCCACGCUGGCAUGCCCCAGCUCGCCUGUGUUAUAGCUUCUAUCCGCGUUCGGCGGUUCCCAAGCUCUUGUACCCACGUUCGGCGGUUCCCAAGCUCUUGUACCCGCGUUCGGCAGUUCCCAAGCUCUUGUACCACGCCUGAGAAGAAUGAGGAUACGUUGGACAUUGAAGGGUGAAGAGGGCGGAGAAGAAUUUUAUUGAGCAAGGGAACAGCAAUUAGCGGAGAAGGGACUCUGGGGGGUGGUCGCCCACCCCCUUAGUCGGAUGGUUUUUUCCUCCCCUCGUGGCUGGGUCACGAGCUUUUUAUAGGCUUAGAAUAGGGGAGGGGCAGGUCAUAGGUAGUAUUGGAAAAGGCAACGCUUGAUCGGUUAAAACGCAUUAUUUAGAAAUAAUUAAUCAGGAAAGAGCGGGGGCAAAAAGGAACAGAAAUACUCAGCCUGUGUCGCGGGUUUCAUCUGGGACCAGCAGUUCAGUGUUUUUGGCUGGAAGGUGGGGUUUCACCCCAUCCUCCUGGGCAUUUAGCAGCCUCCAGCCGCUCUCACUUUCGUGUGCCAUGGACGAGAUGAUAAACUGAGAUUGUAGAGGAGUUGCAGUUCUUGGCAGUGACCAGGUCUAGAGAACGACCACUGAGUGCAGUGGAAAUGACAUUGAGCCACUUAUGAAUCUAUGCCUCAAGAAGUCUUUCAUGCUCCUGUUCUCUCUCGUGGACCUCUCUCAAAUGGAUGAUGUGAUAAAAACAAACCCAGGCUGGCCUAAUGAAGGACAAGAGACCAUGUGGAGGAAUGACAAGUUGUCCCAGCCAAGGCCCUAGGCCAGUCAACCCCUUGCCAAUCUCCAAGCAGAAAUCUGCCAAGAUUGGCCCAGAUUCACAGGAAUGAUUUGCUGAG
rnacentral:lncRNA from 1 species